UAGUCAUUAAGUGUGACAUCACAUAACCAUGGCUUCCAAGUUCCUGGUGGCUUCCCCACUGACUUUGCUUCUUGGAAACCAGCUAUGAAGGUCUCCAAACGGCAAUCACGUGAUUGAGGGAUGCUGUAAUCCAGGGUGUCAAACUCGUGUCAUUACGGCAUCGUCAUGUGACGUAUCGCAACUUUUUUUUUCCUUCGCUAAACCGAUCAUGGGUGUGGCCAGAGUGUGACGCAUCCAGCUUGCGGGCCGCAAGUUUGACAGCCCUGCUGUAACCAUUGUAAAAAUAUGCUGGUUGCCACAUGCUUAAACUGUCAUCCUGUGAUCUCAGAGACAUUGUGACAGCUGCAAGUUCAAGGACCGGUCCUUUUCCCAGCGCUAUUGAAACAGUUGCUGAAUGAUCAGUAAGCAAAACUACCUAUAUAUUCCAAAGAGUGCAGAAAGGGUACCCUGAUUACUGAGGAACCAGGAUGCUGAAACAAGCAUGAGAAUAUCAAAGCACAGCAUCCACAUCCAUUGCAUAGACUUUCUGAAUGGUUGAUGGAAUCCUUAGAUGCAAACCUGGCAUGUCAAAUCUCACUUGGCACUUCAAAGAGCAGCCUGUUAACAUUCUCAUUAUUACAGUUCCAAUAAGAGAGAUGGAAACAUUGGGGCAUGCUUGGCAUCUCCCCUAAUUUUAUUAAUUCAUCUCUAUGUGCAAUUUCAAGGGACCAAGACUAUGGACCAAUUUUAUGGAAGCUGCAGCUACUUUUAUCAGUGUUUUACUCUUGCCUAACUUUGACUUCAAUGAAUACCAGCAGGUGACUACUAGGUGAAUCUAAAUAAAGAUGGCCAACUCUUCUACAAAAGGAA